UGUCUCCUACGGGGGGCAGCAGUGGGAAAUAUUGCACAAUGGGGGAAACCCUGAUGCAGCGACGCCGCGUGAGUGAAGAAGUAUUUCGGUACGUAAAGCUCUCUCAGCAGGGAAGAAAAACCGGCCUUAGGGCCGCCAGACGGUACCUGACUAAGAAGCCCCGGCUAACUACGUGCCAGCAGCCGCGGUAAUACGUAGGGGGCAAGCGUUAUCCGGAUUUACUGGGUGUAAAGGGAGCGUAGACGGAGGAGCAAGUCUGAUGGGAAAAUCCGGGGCCCAACCCCGGAACUGCAUUGGAAACUGUU
rnacentral:rRNA from 1 species